AUUAAAGUUGUUGCAGUUAAAAAACUCGUAGUUGGAUCUCGGGUCCAGGCUCGCGGUUCGCCUCGCGGCGAUCACUGCCCGUCCUGACCUACCUCCCGGUUUUCCCUUGGUGCUCUUCGUUGAGUGCUUCGGGUGGCCGGAACGUUUACUUUGGAAAAAUUAGAGUGCUCAAAGCAGGCGGACUGCCUGAAUAAUCGCGCAUGGAAUAAUGGAAUAGGACCUCGGUUCUAUUUUGUUGGUUUUCGGAACUCGAGGUAAUGAUUAAGAGGGACAGACGGGGGCAUUCGUAUUACGGUGUUAGAGGUGAAAUUCUUGGAUCGCCGUAAGACGAACUACUGCGAAAGCAUUUGCCAAGAAUGUUUUCAUUAAUCAAGAACGAAAGUCAGAGGUUCGAAGACGAUCAGAUACCGUCGUAGUUCUGACCAUAAACGAUGCCAACUGGCGAUCCGCGGGCGUUGAUCUAAUGACCCCGCGGGCAGCCUCCGGGAAACCAAAGUUUUUGGGUUCCGGGGGAAGUAUGGUUGCAAAGCUGAAACUUAAAGGAAUUGACGGAAGGGCACCGCCAGGAGUGGAGCCUGCGGCUUAAUUUGACCCAACACGGGAAAACUCACCCGGCCCGGACACCGUAAGGAUUGACAGAUUGAGAGCUCUUUCUUGAUUCGGUGGGUGGUGGUGCAUGGCCGUUCUUAGUUGGUGGAGCGAUUUGUCUGGUUAAUUCCGAUAACGAACGAGACUCUAGCCUGCUAAAUAGUUCACCGAUUCACCGAGUCGGUGUUAACUUCUUAGAGGGACAAGUGGCGUUUAGCCACACGAGAUUGGGCAAUAACAGGUCUGUGAUGCCCUUAGAUGUUCGGGGCCGCACGCGCGCUACACUGAAGGAAUCAGCGUGUGUUCUCCCUGAUCCGAAAGGACCGGGUAACCCGUUGAACCUCCUUCGUGCUAGGGAUUGUGGCUUGCAAUUGUUCCACAUGAACGAGGAAUUCCCAGUAAGCGCGAGUCAUAAGCUCGCGUUGAUUACGUCCCUGCCCUUUGUACACACCGCCCGUCGCUACUACCGAUUGGAUGGUUUAGUGAGAUCCUCGGAUUGGACCCGGCGCGGCGGGCAACCGUCGUGCCGGUGUUCCGAAAAGACGAUCAAACUUGAUCAUCUAGA
rnacentral:rRNA from 1 species